GCCAGGUACCAUGCAAAAGCAAUCUUCCCUUUAGAAUGACUGAUGGUAUGCUAAGGUUUUUCAUGGCAUAUUAUUAUUAAAGGUGAAUACAAAU
ensembl:snoRNA